rnacentral:rRNA from 1 species
GACGAACCGUGCGAACGUUGUUCGGAAUCACUGGGUUUAAAGGGCGCGUAGGCGGGCUGUCAAGUCGGUGGUGAAAUCGUUCCGCUCAACGGGACAAUGGCCUUCGAUACUGGCGGUCUGGAGGGAGGUAGGGCAUGCGGAACUCCGGUGGAGCGGUGAAAUGCGUAGAUAUCGGAAGGAACACCGAUGGCGAAAGCAGCGUGCUGGACCUUUUCUGACGCUGAGGCGCGAAGCCAGGGAGCAAACGGG